rnacentral:rRNA from 1 species
ACGGGAUUGGAAAUAGCAAUAUUACCAUGAGAGUGGCGCACGGGUGCGUAACACGUAUGCAAUCUGCCCCUAACUGGAAGAUAGCCCGGCGAAAGUCGGAUUAAUAUUCCAUAACAUUGCGAAACGGCAUCGUUUUGUAAUUAAAGCUCCGGCGGUUAGGGGUGAGCAUGCGCGACAUUAGCUAGAUGGCGAGGUAACGGCUCACCAUGGCUACGAUGUCUAGGGGGUCUGAGAGGAUUAUCCCCCACACUGGUACUGAGACACGGACCAGACUCCUACGGGAGGCAGCAGUAGGGAAUAUUGGGCAAUGGACGCAAGUCUGACCCAGCCAUGCCGCGUGCAGGAUGACGGCCCUAUGGGUUGUAAACUGCUUUUGUACAGGAAGAAACCCCUUUACGUGUAGAGGGCUGACAUUACUGUAAGAAUAAGGAUCGGCUAACUCCGUGCCAGCAGCCGCGGUAAUACGGAGGAUCCAAGCGUUGUCCGGAUUUAUUGGGUUUAAAGGGUGCGUAGGCGGACCAUUAAGUCAGAGGUGAAAGUUUGCAGCUUAACUGUAAAAUUGCCUUUGAAACUGGUGGUCUUGAGUACAGUUGAGGUGGGCGGAAUGUGUCAUGUAGCGGUGAAAUGCUUAGAUAUGAUACAGAACACCGAUUGCGAAGGCAGCUCACUAAACUGUAACUGACGCUGAGGCACGAAAGCGUGGGGAGCGAACAGGAUUAGAUACCCUGGUAGUCCACGCCCUAAACGUUGAAUACUCGUUGUUGGCGAUAUACAGUCAGCGACUAAGCGAAAGCAUUAAGUAUUCCACCUGGGGAGUACGACCGCAAGGUUGAAACUCAAAGGAAUUGACGGGGGCCCGCACAAGCGGAGGAGUUUGUGGUUUAAUUCGAUGAUACGCGAGGAACCUUACCUGGGCUUGAAAGUUAGCGACCGCUGCCGAAAGGUGGCUUCCCUUCGGGCGCGAAACUAGUGCUGCAUGGCUGUCGUCAGC